GGCAGUUCUCAGGUGACACACCCCAGAAUCGGGCUCCCUCCUCUCUGGUUCCAGGUGCAUUGCCUGAGAACCACA
rfam:Myotis davidii contig51867, whole genome shotgun sequence.